GGGGUUGUGGCUCAGAGGUAGAGUGCUCACCUAGCAUGUGUGAGGCACUGGAUUCGAUCCUCAGCACCA
rnacentral:tRNA from 1 species